AACGCACAUUGCGCCCGCCUGUACUCAGGCGGGCAUGCCUGUCUGAGCGUCAUUUCAACCCUCAGGGCCCGUUCGCGGGACCUGGCGUUGGGGAUCAGCCUGCCUCCGGGCGGCUGGCCCUUAAAACUAGUGGCGGUCCUCUCGCGACCUCCUCCGUGCAGUAGUUAAUACCUCGCGGCUGGAUAGCGGUUGGCCCACGCCGUUAAACCCCCCACUUCUCAAGGUUGACCUCAGAUCAGGUAGGAAUACCCGCUGAACUUAA
rnacentral:misc_RNA from 1 species